rnacentral:rRNA from 1 species
AACGAACGCUGGCGGCAUGCCUAACACAUGCAAGUCGAACGAGACCUUCGGGUCUAGUGGCGCACGGGUGCGUAACGCGUGGGAACCUGCCCUUAGGUUCGGAAUAACUCCCCGAAAGGGGUGCUAAUACCGGAUAAUGUCUUCGGACCAAAGAUUUAUCGCCUUUGGAUGGGCACGCGUUGGAUUAGCUAGUUGGUAGGGUAAAAGCCUACCAAGGCGACGAUCCAUAGCUGGUCUGAGAGGAUGAUCAGCCACACUGGGACUGGGACACGGCCCAGACUCCUACGGGAGGCAGCAGUGGGGAAUAUUGGACAAUGGGCGAAAGCCUGAUCCAGCAAUGCCGCGUGAGUGAUGAAGGCCUUAGGGUUGUAAAGCUCUUUUACCCGUGAUGAUAAUGACAGUACCGGGAGAAUAAGCUCCGGCUAACUCCGUG